UAGGGAAUCUUCGGCAAUGGACGGAAGUCUGACCGAGCAACGCCGCGUGAGUGAAGAAGGUUUUCGGAUCGUAAAGCUCUGUUGUUAGAGAAGAACGUUGGUAGGAGUGGAAAAUCUACCAAGUGACGGUAACUAACCAGAAAGGGACGGCUAACUACGUGCCAGCAGCCGCGGUAAUACGUAGGUCCCGAGCGUUGUCCGGAUUUAUUGGGCGUAAAGCGAGCGCAGGCGGUUCUUUAAGUCUGAAGUUAAAGGCAGUGGCUUAACCAUUGUACGCUUUGGAAACUGGAGGACUUGAGUGCAGAAGGGGAGAGUGGAAUUACGUGUUGAGCGGUGAAAUGCGUAGAUAUAUGGAGGAACACCGGUGGCGAAAGCGGCUCUCUGGUCUGUAACUGACGCUGAGGCUCGAAAGCGUGGGGAGCAAACAGG
rnacentral:rRNA from 1 species